UUACUUCAAUAAUUUAAUACACGGACGACAUGGAAGUACACGACUAUUCGUCAUGAUAAGGCCGCGAUUGUACAGAAUUCUUGGACGCUAUAUGUCCAGACCUGCGCUCGGGUCAUCCUUCACUGGCUUCAUCCAAGUUGCCGGCUCGACGGUGAAGAUGGCGGUAAGCUUCUCUCUCUCCUAAUCUUCUUUCGCACCUCUUUCAGCUGAUCCUCGUCUGUACCAGCACACGAUUGAGCUGGAUAUCUCCAUGAACGACGAGAAGAUUCGCGCCGAGGCCAUGGAAAUCGCCGCAGGGGCGGGGGUAAGAGUUUCUCUGAAGAAAGACAGUUAUAGCGAGAGAGAGAGAGAGAGAGAGAGAGAGAGAGANNNN
rnacentral:lncRNA from 1 species